UCUGACGAGAAGCAGAUGUCUUAUAUUGGUUCAGCGAACGUACGAUAUUUGGAGUAAGAUGGAGUACUUACAGCGACCAACGGCGGAACCUCUCACCUAUCAUGUUUUGCAUCUGAUUCUCCAUGACUUACGGUCACCAUAAGUUGACGCUUUGAAUAUUUCAUGCAGUUCUAAUGAUGGAUCGAUCUUAUCAGAAAUAAUUCUGAAAUGAAAGUGAAGUGAUUCAGUUCCGAUGAGAUAUCUUCUAAUCGCAGCCUUUUUCAUUUCGCAUCACAAAUAUUCAUUCUUAGUGUUUCAGUGCCGAUGAAAUCUCCUAUAUUCCAAGGAACUAAUCUGAUUGGGUUGAUUGCAGCUUCUUUCGUUUUGCAUCACAAGUACGAGGAAGUUGAUGGUACUGGCGAAAUUUUUUUCUAAUCAAGAAUUCAUCGAUGCAGAAAUUCCCAAUAGAUGUUUAUCAACGUAUACUUAUGUAUAUGCUCAUUAUAGAUUACCAAAAACGAACAUAAGCUUGAAAUUAUUGAAGCUGAAGCUAUUCUAAGUGCAUCAAACGUUUUCGCGAAGAACAGCUUACCUUAAGUCACCUUAUCUGUGACAAGAAACUCGAGUAAAAAAGCAGGUUGUCGAUAGAUAAUUGCCAUGUUUUCGAUGGAAAUUCAACCAAUUUGAAAUUUAGGAAGCAAUUACUCCCCCCAGAUAAGUUUUUUUGACUAUUUUAUUACCUUUGCACUCUUCGAUUGACAACCAGAUUCUAUCAUCGCUCAACAUACCUAUAUUUUAAUUUUUUUAUGACUUGAAAUUUGCCAAAUGUCCUAAAGGAAGUAACUAUGAAGUAAGUAUUUCAAUUCGUGUUUUGGACAUUUUCCAAGAAUUUGAGUAGGUACUGAAUUAUGUAAUUAGUUAUCAAAUAAAUAGCUUAUCUAUCCUUA